ensembl:processed_transcript 4930594M22Rik RIKEN cDNA 4930594M22 gene
AGGCUCCUAGUCCCAGCCCGCCUCGGCGCCUCACCUGCAGUGGUCAGGGGAAUCACGAGGAGCGCGCCCGGACCGUGGAGCGGAAAUGCCCAGCUGGGCGGGUGUCGCAACCAAACCGCCCCGGGCGGCGCUCCUGCUGGUCGCUCGCCGCUCGGCCCGCCCCGGCAGCGCCACGGAGCGCACCUGGCCGCGCGCACGCCACGCCCCAUGUGCCGGAACCGCGCAGAAGCCAGGCAGACUGCUAUCUUCACUUUAUACAAGGACAAACUGAAUAAUGGACCAAGCAAGACUUGAAUGCAUGAUACACAGUAUUGAAAAUACUACUUGAGAAGACCCAAGGAGAACACGAGAAGACACGAGACAUGCCCACAACCUAGUGGGUGGAAGAGACAUGGGAUGGCAUCUCAGUACACUACUAACAGACAUCUUAGACCAUGUUUAAAUUCUCUCCCAGAUACCAAUUAUAUCCAAAGUGGGACAUAAAGCACGGCAAAGCAACACUAACUUCUGAAUAUUCUUACAGCCAAGUACAUGUUCUGUAUGUUUUGGAAAACAAGCCAUCUACCUCCUGUCUACACAGUUUAGAUGGUUUACUAGUUUUCGAUUCUAUCAAAGUACCACCAAGGCUUUUAAAGGGAUGGUUGGGUUUUUAUAAAGAAGGCAGCAGAGGGCUACUUGGUAGAAAACUUGCCUACCACAUCCAAGGCCCUGGGACUGAUCUCCAGUAUCGUAAGAUAGCACAACAAGGGUAACAAGGCCCACCACCCCACCCCAAACCAGUUGAACCUGGUCUACUAUGGGCUGAGAAAUCAGAUCUAAUCAUCAGCAUUGUAUUUUAACUAAGAAUCCAUUCCUCUCAGAAUAGACCUGAAAGCAGAUCCUAUGUGUACCUCGCUGUCUCCAGCAUGCUGGAGGGUAGUGUGGCUCAAUGAUGGGCCUCAGAAUAAAUGAGACCUGAUCACACCCACUCCUCCAUGACUCAACACUAAUUUUCAUUACAUUAUGCUUUUCAUCACAUUAUGUUCAGGUAGGUUAGAGGAAACUUCGUUUUCUAGAAAGACAUUAGCAUCAUUAUGUGUGCUAGGGUACUGCAUGUGCUCUUGCGGCUAGAAGUCAGGAUCAGAUGUCUUCUUCAAUUGUUAUCCAAUUGAUUUUUUUAAGUCAGGGACAGGGUUUUCACUGACCUUGGAGCUCAUUAAUUAGGUUAAUCUAGCUGGCUAGUAAGGGGAUCUCCUGUCUCUAUUUCCCAGUGUUGGGGUUGUAUGGUAUCUACCACCGUGCCUGGGCUUUUAUGUGGGUGAGGAGGGUGUGACUUGUGGCCUCAUGCCUGCAAUGUGAGCAUUUUACCGAUUGAGCCAUCUCCCCAGUCUCUAGAAAAAGUUAUUUUUGUUAACAUCAAUUAACCCAGAUUUAUUUUCAUUCUUUCUCCCUCCCUUCCUUCCCCACUCCCUUCUUUCUUUUCCUGGAGUCUCUCUGUGUCAUCCUGAGGGCCUCAAACACAGAGAUUUGCCUGCCUCUCCCUGCCAAAUGCUGGGACCAAAGCUGCAUACCACCACACCCAGCUUAUUUAUCUUUUAAACUCUAGGACUAACAUUGGUCAGCAACACGCCCUGACUAGCCUGUGGGAAUGACACUGGUCUGCAUGCCUUGGUUAGCCCACAGAACGAUGGAUAGUGGAACACCUUCUCAUCAUCUCCUUCUCCUCUGCACCUGUGUUAUCCAGAAGUAUGAUCAUGUUGUUCCACGCCAGGCUGUGCUCCGGCUUCAGUACGGUGGCAUUUCUCCAAGCGUUCAAUGCAUCCACGUGGCGAUUUAGAUCUGCAUACUGAAAAUAAAGCCCCCCCCCCAAGAGUCAAUAUUCCAACUCUUCCUCCUUGUUCCCUUUCUAUGACAUUAUCACACAGACACACAAAAUCCCUCAGAACAAACAAUAACUACUACCUUACUUCCUAUCAACCUGUGUACUUAAAUGCACAACCUCAAUGAGUAGAGGCCAUCACAAUCCGAGCUUUACAGAAGGAACCAAACAAGAGGGAAAUGAGUGACUUGCUCGGCCAAACAUCUAGAGAUCUAGAGGUAGUGUUAGGUGACCUGGGUCUUGCGUUAAGGAACAUUAUUACCUUUUAUGUACUGACCACAAAUAUGACAUCACACUUUAAGCUACUGAGAAACACUGAUGAUUCUAUUCCAGGUGCACCCCAGGAGGCUCACUGGCCAGUGAGCCUAGUUGAAAUGGCAAGGUCUGAAAUGGUGAGACCCUGCCUCAAAACAUAAGGACAGCCACAGAGGAAGGUACCCAAGGUUGAUCUUUGACCUCCACAUGCACACACAUAGGCUCAGCUACCCACACAGAAGUGAUUGGGGUGGGAGGGAAGCAAGAGCACACAUGCACUCCAUAUGCCUAUUUGCUUGCGAAGAAUGUUUUAGAAACCUCUUAUGAAUAUCUAAACUCAAAAUACAAAUAUGAGCCAUUCAGAUAUAUUUUUGCAAACUUUUUUGGAGACCCAUCUAGUCACAUAAGAUCCCUCAGCAGUCUGGAUCAGCUUGGCUUGUGUGGGAAGAAGAACAUCAUCUUUGCUUUCUCUGGACAGGAAAUUUCAUUUAACAUCCAUAACAAUAUAAAACAGAUAGCUCUAAUCUGCACAGUCAUCAAAAGUCAGAGGGACAAAGUGAUGGAUUCUUUUCUUUUUCCAUUUGUGUGUGUGUGUGUGGUAUGUUUGUGUGCUUGUGUUUAUGUUUUUUGCAUGUAUAUGGAUAUAUGUGCACAAUGUGAGCACCUGCAUGUGGUGGUCCAAGGAUGCUAGGAAUCAUCUUCCAUGGCCUUUUCACUUUCUUCACUGAGGCGUGGUCUCUCAAUCAACCCCAGAACUCACUAAAAUGGCUACUCCCACUAGCUAGCUUUCUCUGGGAACCCCAACUCAAUGGUCAUCAUGCCCACCUGGUAUCCACAUGGCGUUCUGGGGACCUGAACUCGGGUCCUCAUGCUUGUACAGGAAAUGCUUUAAUUUCCCUACCUUGUGAUGGAUUCUUUAGCAGGUGAUCCGACCCUCUUAAACUCAGGUCAAAGGUACAUUUCAUCUGAAUAUACUCCAUCCCUAAACUCUGCAUGAAGUCCCUAUGACAGGAAUCUAUGGCAGCUUUAGCUUAUAAUUUCCGACUGCUUAUUAAGCACAUUUUCCACUGGACAACAGAAAAAUUUUAACUUGUUCUAUGUCCCAUUCAACAAGUAGGUGACAUGAGGUCAAAUGAAUUAUGCAAACAUUUACAAACAUCUUUUUUGUUAAAGAGAGUUUCUCAAAUUUCUCACGAGGCUUAGACUGUCAGGUUGCAAUGUUUUCCCCUUUAGGAAACCAUUAGGAAAUAGUGUAAAAAUUCAAAUAAAUACAGCUGUUUACAUAUACC